ensembl:lincRNA
UGCAGACAGCAUGCCACCCCCUCUCUCUUCUCCCCCACCCCACCCCCACACUGCCACGUAAACACGAGGACUUUCUCGAGAGCCCUGGAGAGCCGCUCUAGUGGCUUCGGGGCCUGAAACCCCGGGCUUGGCUUGUUUGAUGUUUAGCAUCCCAAAGCGGCUCCCCACCCCCGCCCCAGCCUGGGAACCCAGAGCUGUGGGCCAGGAAGGAAGGAAAGUAGCCCUCUCAGCUGGCGGGCCUUGGGCUGGGCUGGGCUGGGGGGAGGCGAGAAGAGCCGGCCUGAGAUGCCCUCCACAGGGGAGGGAGGGAUCCUGGGCUGCUGCCGCCACUAUACGGGCCCAGCUGGGAUCCGGGAGGCUGGGAGAACAGGGCAUGCCUUGGCCGCAGGGCCAAGGCUCGGAAUAGGGGCUGUAACCAGCGAAGUCCACGCCAGGCCGGGCCCACUCCCGAGAAACACUGGGGCACUUGGAGAUCGGCGAGGCCCGGCUCCUGCCCAGGUCCCCCCAGGAGGCAGGUUUCCCCGCUGGUUAGGGCUUGGCCCUUCAUAGGGAAAGACCUGCUAGGAGUCUUCGGAGGAAGUUUAGAUUCUCCUGGGCCGGGGCCAGGGAGGUCCAGUGGCAGUGCUCGAAUCCGGCCUCCUAGUCUCUCUCGGAAGAAAGCUCAGACUUUAGAGGCCGCGCGGGCUGGAGCGCGCUCUCCGCGUCCCGCCGCGGUGCGGGGCUCUCUCCAGGCGCCACCGCGCACAGGUAGCGGGAGUCUCUCCCCAGGCUCAGGCGAUCCGGGAGGAGAGGAAAUGCGAGCGAGGUGUUCUGACUUCCACCUCGUUAGGGGACCAGUUGUGUUCAUGGGGGCUUCUGACCACCCUCAGUGAGUCCCAGCCUGGCAAUCUGCAGCAACUUGGAACACAGAAAGUUUUCUGGUGUCUCCUCAAUGAGUGACCUGACUCCACUCACCAUUUUCUGCAAGAUUGCCCACCCAAGUGGAUGCAGGAAUUGGUACAAAUGGAAAUAAAGGUCUGCUUUAUUGAAAGGAUGGCAUGAGCCUUUACUUACCCCAUAGAGUUGUGUUUCUGAACUUUGUUUGAUGAGACUUAAGGGAAUGGAAGAAGAGCAGGCUCAGAGACUUGGCUCAGAAGCAGUUUCUUCCUCACCUGAAACCUUGGAUGAAGUGGCAGGCUACAUUUCUCUCUGACAGUGACCUAAUACCCAGUUUGGCGGGUGUCCUGGACAUCUCUCCCUGGCCUCUUGUGAUAAUGUUUCCAGUAUCAUCUGUGCUCCCUAAACAUUUAUUACCUUUGUUAUUAUGACUUGUGGCAAAGUUUUGGAAAGUGUGAGGUUUCAAGAAGGUUUUCCAGUUUUAUUCCUUUUUGUUACUUGCAGAACAGUAUAAUAUAAAUUGUGUUACCUUGCCUGAAUGAUAAAUAAAACAUAAAUGCUGAGGUUGCUAGGAUGUGGUAAAGAGAACUCUUUCUUCUGACUUAAUAUUCACAUCUGACUCUGUUCACUCUGUGUGUAGGUAAAAGUGGUUGCAUAUAAAUAUUUGAUUAUAUAUGUAUGCAUUUAUA